UGAGUUCCAACUUGUGACCAAGACAAAAUGUUUGCCAUCUUUUUAAGAAUGUAUUAUGAACGAAUUCACUGAUGAAUGUAGGCUAUUAAUUACUGGCUUAAUUUCAGAACUUGUUAUUGAUCUAUUGAGGGAUUCCACUUCUUCUUGGUUUAGUCUUGGGAGGGUGUAUGUGUCCAGGAAUUUAUUUAUUUCCUCUAGAUUUUCUAGUUUAUUUGCAUAGAGGUGUUUAUAGUAUUCUCUGAUGGUAGUUUGUAUUUUUGUGGGAUCAGUGGUGAUAUCCCCUUUAUCAUUUUU
rnacentral:lncRNA from 1 species